rnacentral:misc_RNA from 1 species
CUGCUAGGAGAUUGGUCUUGGUCGCCCAUGGUUGUCACACUACAUUUCCUUUCCGAGUUCAUUGCAAGAAUGAGAGACCUCUAUAUGCUUAACCACUGCUGUACCAGGAAGAACAAAUAAAUCGCCUCUCAACAGAAGUUAAACCAUCGUGUUUCGUCGACAAUGGUGAAUGAUCAAAUUUGAAACCCUAGAACCCAAAAUUUACUCGUGAUGAUAAUUGAGCCUCCCCAAAUUGUUUUAUAUAG